GGGUUUUCUGAAAGGAAAAGUGUAUGCCAAUGAUCCACAGACCGUUCCGGAGUUGAAGGAAGAAAUUAGACGUACCAUUAAUGAAAUUAGUCCGCAAUUAUGCCAAAAUGUCAUUGAAAAUUUUGUCAAAAGAAUGAACGUUUGCAAACAGAGUCGAGGCGGCUAUUUAUCAGAUAUUGUGUUCCACAUAUAACCUCCAUAUUUAUCGUACAGAACUAUGCUCGGAGAUGAACGCGCAGGAUACGAUAUUAUCAAAUAGAAUUAGAGUCGCAAAAGACUUUUGAAUAGAUUUUUGAAUCUUUUUUCAAAAGAGGAUUGGCACAAGAGACAAUGGUAUAGAUGAACGUCUUAUCGUGGCGACUGCUUGGAGACAACUCGUUCCGCGACGACGAGUUACUGUCUUCGAAUCUCGGAUAAGACAAAGAAAGUAUUGCGACACUCAAUCGAGCGUCUAUUCUUCUAUUUGAACAAUAAAAUAAUUAUUCUGCA